AAAGUCUGAUGGAGCAACGCCGCGUGAGUGAUGAAGGUUUUCGGAUCGUAAAACUCUGUUGUAAGGGAAGAACCAGUACGUCAGGCAAGGGACGAUAAUGACGGUACCUGAGGAGGAAGCCACGGCUAACUACGUGCCAGCAGCCGCGGUAAUACGUAGGUGGCGAGCGUUGUCCGGAUUUACUGGGCGUAAAGGGAGCGUAGGCGGACUUUUAAGUGAGAUGUGAAAUACCCGGGCUCAACUUGGGUGCUGCAUUUCAAACUGGAAGUCUAGAGUGCAGGAGAGGAGAGUGGAAUUCCUAGUGUAGCGGUGAAAUGCGUAGAGAUUAGGAAGAACACCAGUGGCGAAGGCGACUCUCUGGACUGUAACUGACGCUGAGGCUCGAAAGCGUGGGGAGCAAACA
rnacentral:rRNA from 1 species